UAUUCCCCUAACACAGAGUUACUGAAAUGUGAGGAAUAUGGAUUUAUUUUUCACCAAACAUUGUUUCUUAUCCCGUUGGUAAUGUCUAAUGUAUUUCUCAUUUAUUCUAACAGCAGAACCAACCACUCCACCCACAGAAACAGUGUGUGCCUGUCAUCACCAAGGAAAAGCAUAUAGGGCAGGUGAGGAAAUAGCAAGAAGUGACAGCAGAGAGAAGGAUGGAAAAUGCUACCGCUAUGUAUGUGACAGCACUUGCAAGAAAACAAAGCGAAUUGAGAAAGCAUGUGAACCACCAA